rnacentral:rRNA from 1 species
UACGGAGGGUGCAAGCGUUAUCCGGAUUCACUGGGUUUAAAGGGUGCGUAGGCGGGUAGGUAAGUCCGUGGUGAAAUCUCUGAGCUUAACUCAGAAACUGCCGUGGAUACUAUUUGCCUUGAAUAUUGUGGAGGUGAGCGGAAUAUGUCAUGUAGCGGUGAAAUGCUUAGAUAUGACAUAGAACACCAAUUGCGAAGGCAGCUCACUACACAAUGAUUGACGCUGAGGCACGAAAGCGUGGGGAUCAAACAGG